rnacentral:rRNA from 1 species
GUAGGUGGCAAGCGUUGUCCGGAAUUAUUGGGCGUAAAGCGCGCGCAGGCGGUUCUUUAAGUCUGAUGUGAAAGCCCACGGCUCAACCGUGGAGGGUCAUUGGAAACUGGAGAACUUGAGUACAGAAGAGGAAAGCGGAAUUCCACGUGUAGCGGUGAAAUGCGUAGAGAUGUGGAGGAACACCAGUGGCGAAGGCGGCUUUCUGGUCUGUAAUUGACGCUGAGGCGCGAAAGCGUGGGGGAGCAAACAGGAUUAGAUACCCUGGUAGUCCACGCCGUAAACGAUGAGUGCUAAGUGUUAGGGGGUUUCCGCCCCUUAGUGCUGCAGCUAACGCAUUAAGCACUCCGCCUGGGAGUACGGCCGCAAGGCUG